AUCUAUGGCCAUACCACCCUGAACGUGCCGGAUCUCGUCUGAUCUCGGAAGCUAAGCAGGGUCGGGCCUGGUUAGUACUUGGAUGGGAGACCGCCUGGGAAUACCAGGUGCUGUAGGCU